rnacentral:rRNA from 1 species
CCUACGGGAGGCUGCAGUAGGGAAUCUUCCACAAUGGGCGAAAGCCUGAUGGAGCAACGCCGCGUGGGUGAAGAAGGUCUUCGGAUCGUAAAACCCUGUUGUUAGAGAAGAAAGUGCGUGAGAGUAACUGUUCACGUUUCGACGGUAUCUAACCAGAAAGCCACGGCUAACUACGUGCCAGCAGCCGCGGUAAUACGUAGGUGGCAAGCGUUAUCCGGAUUUAUUGGGCGUAAAGGGAACGCAGGCGGUCUUUUAAGUCUGAUGUGAAAGCCUUCGGCUUAACCGGAGUAGUGCAUUGGAAACUGGGAGACGUGAGUGCAGAAGAGGAGAGCGGAACUCCAGGUGUAGCGGUGAAAUGCGUAGAUAUAUGGAAGAACACCAGUGGCGAAGGCGGCUCUCUGGUCUGUAACUGACGCUGAGGUUCGAAAGCGUGGGUAGCAAACAGGAUUAGAUACCCGUGUAGUC